rnacentral:rRNA from 1 species
UACGAAGGGGGCUAGCGUUGUUCGGAAUCACUGGGCGUAAAGCGCACGUAGGCGGACUUUCAAGUCAGGGGUGAAAUCCCGGGGCUCAACCUCGGAAUUGCCUUUGAUACUGUAGGUCUCGAGUCCGGAAGAGGUGGGUGGAAUUCCUAGUGUAGAGGUGAAAUUCGUAGAUAUUAGGAAGAACACCGGUGGCGAAGGCGGCAUCCUGGACUGGUCCUGACACUCAUGAGCGAAAGCGUGGG